rnacentral:rRNA from 1 species
GACGAACGCUGGCGGCGUGCUUAACACAUGCAAGUCGAACGAUGAAGCUGGAGCUUGCUCCGGUGGAUUAGUGGCGAACGGGUGAGUAACACGUGAGUAAUCUGCCCUUGACUCUGGGAUAACUGCGGGAAACUGUAGCUAAUACCGGAUACGACACCUUCGGGCAUCCGAUGGGUGUGGAAAGAAUUUCGGUCAAGGAUGAACUCGCGGCCUAUCAGCUAGUUGGUGAGGUAAUGGCUCACCAAGGCGACGACGGGUAGCCGGCCUGAGAGGGUGACCGGCCACACUGGGACUGAGACACGGCCCAGACUCCUACGGGAGGCAGCAGUGGGGAAUAUUGCACAAUGGGCGAAAGCCUGAUGCAGCAACGCCGCGUGAGGGAUGAAGGCCUUCGGGUUGUAAACCUCUUUUAGUUGGGAAGAAGCGAAAGUGACGGUACCAACAGAAAAAGCACCGGCUAACUACGUGCCAGCAGCCGCGGUAA